GGGGAUGCCAAGGUCUCGACAUGACUAAUGAUUACCCAAACGCAGUAGGGUCAGCCCUUUAUAGCUCGAGGUAUUAUUGCAUGACAAUAAACCAAAAAAUGAGGCUGUUCAAUUGGAUAACUACCAAAUUGCACAACUUUCAAGACAAUCUCAACUUAACUACGCUUUUGUAGCUUAAGUCCUUGUCUAUAAGUGUUCUUAGUUUUAUUCUUUUACUAAAACACGCUAAAUAAAAGAAUAUAUUGUACAAAUGCUAAUAUGUGCAAUGAAACUAAUUAGCUAUAUAGGUUGGGGUUGCUAUGUUACCAUUCUAACCUAUGAAGUUAUAAAAUAUAGCUAAACUGUAGUGCUUGCUUAAGAGUUAGUUGUGGAAAGGAGUUCGAUUCUCCUCAUCUCCACCA
rnacentral:tmRNA from 1 species